rfam:Pelecanus crispus contig3958, whole genome shotgun sequence.
ACUGAGGCUUUUUUUAAAGCCAUAAAACUCACUUAUUUGUAUAUAA